GUUAAACGGAUUAGGUGGACAGAAAAUAAGAUUGAGGACAGUUCUCUAAAGUCAGGAGCAGAGGCAGUGGAAGAGAGAGAUGACAAUCUUACAAGGAAAUUGAUGUCCUUGACUACCGUGGAGGCCAUCACAAAUUGCCUGCUGACUCCAUUAUGAAAACUUGAGUUCACUGAAUCCCUCAACUAUUUGGGCUUUAGGCAAGCCAGUUAGAUCUCUGGGAGCAGGAGCAGCCUUUCUUAAAACAAUGAUGAGGUUAGAAUGACUGGAUGAAUUUAACAGUAACGCCCCUUCUAAAGACGGAGCGUCUUCGACUUCCAAAGACUGGGCUUAAACAAACAAAAAAAAAUGAUGAUUCUAACUUCACAUACAGGAGUAUCUCAAGGCAAGAUGUUUUAGAACAUUUUCCUCCCCCCCACCCCGCCUCUUGAUGGAAAAGCCUCAAACCAUGGUGCAGGCCUUCUGAAAAAUCUUCCCUCAUUUAACUCACUUGUAAAUCCUCAGUUGCCUGACUCUUCUUUCUGGAGAUCUCCUAGUGCACACCUGUGUGGUUUCUGUACUGACUGGCCCUAAGGUAUCAUUAUUCCGAAGUGUCAUUAUUCUGAAGUAUCAUACUCUAAAAUAUCAUUAAUCUUAAGUACCAUAUUCUAAAGAUGAGCAGA